rnacentral:rRNA from 1 species
ACGAAUGCUAGCGGCGUGCUUUAGGCAUGCAAGUAGAACGGGAUUUGUAGCAAUACAAGUCUAGUUGCGAACGGCUGAGUAACACGUAGGAAUCUACCUCUUGGCGGGGAAUACCCAUUCGAAAGAAUGGCUAAUACCGCAUAACAUCGCAAGAUAAAAGGGCUUAACGGCCCACCGAGAGAGGAGCCUGCGGCCCAUCAGCUAGUUGGUAGGGUAAUGGCCUACCAAGGCUACGACGGGUAGAGGGCGUGAGAGCGCGUUCCUCCAGAAUGGGACUGAGACACGGCCCAUACACCUACGGGUGGCAGCAACCGGGAAUAGUACGCAAUGGACGAAAGUCUGACGUCGCGACGCCGCGUGGAGGAUGAAGGCCUAAGGGUCGUAAACUCCUUUUGCCAAGUGGGAGACCACUUGGAGAAUAAGUAACUGCUAACUCUGU